AUGCCUUUGUGGUCCCUGCUGUAGCAAGGCAUCUGAGGUCUUUCAACCAAGGAAACAACCAGACUGAGUCAACAACUGUGUGGCUAGAAAGCAACUGUUUUCAAAAGCUGAGACCCCUUUGCUGUUGUCAGAAGGAAAGUGUACCCCACUUAGCGGAUGCAGGAUGGGAAGCCAAUGUUUUCUUCCAAGUUGGUAGACAAGGAAUUCUCAGACUGUGUCAGGUAAGAAAUUUUGCCCUGGGCUUCUAAGGCAUUGGAAUAAGGGAAUAUUUUUUUUAUUGGCUCCAAGUUGAAAG
rnacentral:lncRNA from 1 species